rnacentral:rRNA from 1 species
UACGUAGGGGGCUAGCGUUGUCCGGAUUUAUUGGGCGUAAAGAGCGUGUAGGCGGCCAGGUAGGUCUGCUGUGAAAACUCGAGGCUCAACCUCGAGACGUCGGCGGAAACCCUCUGGCUAGAGUCCGGAAGAGGAGAGUGGAAUUCCUGGUGUAGCGGUGAAAUGCGCAGAUAUCUGGAGGAACACCGGUGGCGAAGGCGGCAUCCUGGACCAAUUCUGACGCUGAGUGAGCGAAAGCCAGGGGAGCAAACGGG